GGGAAGAAGAUAACUUUCGGUGAUGACUGAGCUUGGUGAUUCCCCUUGAAACCGAGCAGAAACUCCAACUCACCCCUAGUGAAACGUGAAACUAGUGAAAUGCCAAACAUUUUCUUUUUUGCUUGGAGAUUACUUCUAUUUUUAAAUUAUCUUAUUAUUAUUGUGGACCUGGUGGUUAUCUGCCAGACAAUAUCGACUGUUUUGGAGAUUUAUAUUAUACCCGUGAUGAAUUUUGGUCAGAUAUAU
rnacentral:lncRNA from 1 species